GAUGAACGCUGGCGGCGUGCUUAACACAUGCAAGUCGAACGGAAAGGCUCCUGCUUGCAGGGGUACUCGAGUGGCGAACGGGUGAGUAACACGUGGGUGAUCUGCCCUGCACUUCGGGAUAAGCCUGGGAAACUGGGUCUAAUACCGGAUAGGACGAUGGUUUGGAUGCCAUUGUGGAAAGUUUUUCGGUGUGGGCUGAGCUCGCGGCCUAUCAGCUUGUUGGUGGGGUAAUGGCCUACCAAGGCGUAGACGGGUAGCCGGCCUGAGAGGGUGUACGGCCACAUUGAGACUGAGGGACGGCCCAGACUCCUACGAGAGGCAGAAGUGGGGAAUAUUGCACAAUGGGCGCAAGCCUGAUGCAGCGGCGCCGCGUGGGGGAUGACGGCCUUCGGGUUGUAGACUCCUUUCGCUAGGGACGAAGCGUUUUGUGACGGUACCUGGAGAAGAAGCACCGGCUAACUACGUG
rnacentral:rRNA from 1 species